UACGUAGGUGGCAAGCGUUGUCCGGAUUUACUGGGCGUAAAGAGCGCGCAGGCGGUCGUUCAAGUCGAGUGUGAAAGCCCCCGGCUCAACUGGGGAGGGUCACUCGAUACUGAUCGACUCGAAGGCAGGAGAGGGAAGUGGAAUUCCCGGUGUAGUGGUGAAAUGCGUAGAUAUCGGGAGGAACACCAGUGGCGAAGGCGACUUCCUGGCCUGUUCUUGACGCUGAGGCGCGAAAGCUAGGGGAGCAAACGGG
rnacentral:rRNA from 1 species